rnacentral:rRNA from 1 species
UACGAAGGGGGCUAGCGUUGCUCGGAAUCACUGGGCGUAAAGCGCACGUAGGCGGACUCUUAAGUCGGUGGUGAAAUCCUGGAGCUCAACUCCAGAACUGCCUUCGAUACUGAGAGUCUCGAGUCCGGGAGAGGAGAGUGGAAUUCCUGGUGUAGCGGUGAAAUGCGCAGAUAUCAGGAAGAACACCCGUGGCGAAAGCGGCUCUCUGGAACGGUACUGACGCUGAGACGCGAAAGCGUGGGGAGCGAACGGG